rnacentral:tmRNA from 1 species
GGGGACGAUCUGGAUUUGACAGGGCGCAAAUGGCUUUCAAUUGCGAGUCGGGGUGCUGUUCCCCGUCACCAACAAGCACAAAUGAUAAAUGCCAACGAUAACGUUGUCAGCCUCGAAGCCUUCCGGGCUCGUAAAGCUGCUAAGCUCGCCGCUUAGUAACUAAACAGCCGGGACGGUGCUCACUCCUCUGAGUGAGCGGCCUCUCAUGUGUUUCCUGUAUGCCGAAACCAUGGGACCCUUUAUGCAUACUAGUGUGUGUUAGAGGAUGAUAUAACCCACACGAACCUUAUCAUCGAGCCUGGCGAGGCUGCUCAAUAACCGCUUGGAACAGUUUUUAGCCGCAGGGUUGCGACUGGACUGAACGACAAUAAUUCAACCCUACGCUCGUAGAUGUUGCAAGACAUUCGUUUUGGACGAGAGUUCGAAUCUCUCCGUCUCCACCA